rnacentral:rRNA from 1 species
AGAGUUUGAUCCUGGCUCAGAAUGAACGUUGGCGGCGUGGAUUAGGCAUGCGAGUCGAACGGGCCGCAAGGCCAGUGGCGGAAGGGUGAGUAAGGCGACGGUAACCAACCCCGCAGUUGGGCAUAGCCGGGGGAAACUCCGGGUAAUUCCCAGCGAUGCGUCGGGCCGGCAUCGGCUUGACGCCAAAGGUUUACUGCUGUGGGACGGGCCGUUGUGGUAUUAGCUUGUUGGCGGGGUGACGGCCCACCAAGGCUACGAUGCCUACCGGGCGUGCGAGCGUGGCCCGGCACACUGGGACUGAGACACUGCCCAGACUCCUACGGGAGGCUGCAGUCGAGAAUCUUCGGCAAUGGGCGCAAGCCUGACCGAGCGACGCCGCGUGGAGGAUGAAGGCCUUCGGGUUGUAAACUCCUGUCGAGGGGGAGGAAGGGGUAACCUUGACCGAUCCCUGGAGGAAGCACGGGCUAAGUUCGUGCCAGCAGCCGCGGUAAGACGAACCGUGCGAACGUUAUUCGGAAUCACUGGGCUUAAAGCGCGUGUAGGCGGGCCGCCACGUCGGCUGCUGAAAUCCCCCGGCUCAACCGGGGAACGGGCACCGAUACGAGCGGCCUUGAGGGGGGGUAGGGGGGUCUGGAACUUCCGGUGGAGCGGUGAAAUGCGUUGAGAUCGGAAGGAACGCCCGUGGCGAAAGCCAGGCCCUGGACCCUUUCUGACGCUGAGACGCGAAAGCCAGGGGAGCGAACGGGAUUAGAUACCCCGGUAGUCC